GAGAGAGAGAGAGAGAGAGCAGCGCUAGCUCUGCUUUACUGAGCUGUGAGCUUCUGAAUUCCAAGCAGAAAGUAUGAGAAGACACACACAGCAAUGCGUGUCUUCCCCUCGGCUGCUUGUGUAGAGCUUAGACAAUGAAAAACUAGAUUCCCCACCUACCCGCACCCCCUCCCGCGACAAGAUUUUUGUUUUCGUUUCUUCUGAACCGUGGAGGAUGUGCAAAAACAAAUCAUUUUUAAACAAAACAAAACAAACAAAAAAAACAAACUGGGAUGAGGAUUACCCAAAUUAACACUGGCUGAGCAAUUUUAGGGGAUCUAGGAUGGUCAAAAUAGGAGUGGUUGUAAACUCCAUUCCGUUCCUGAUCCUAUACUCCUUAAACGUUAUUGCUACUGCUACUGCUGCUGCUGCUACCGCCGCUGCUGGUAUUACUACUACAACUACCACUACAGGGUGGGGAAAACCUCUGGACACCGAAAAUCUGCAGACAUUCAUUUCCUCUGAGUCUGGAUGAAGCCGCAGUGGAUAAAAUGAAAAUAGCCGCGUAUCCUCCUUCACCAGCCUGAAGCGCAACUCCAGCUCCGCCUGUAGAGGUCAACUCACUCACACACCCCCUCCCUCCAUCCCAGACCUCCUUCCUUUUGACUGUUGCCGCAGUCAGAGUAGGUGCGCGCCCUGAAAGGCCGUCCUUCUUUGCACCAGCCAUAGACCCCUGAGGUGGCGCCAGGACCUGAGGUCUAUUUAUGCGGGGAAUAGAGAACCUUUACUAUACUCAACAUCUUUCUUUCUCCUUUACAUAACCGUAGCCAGGCCAGAUGGGCAAUACAUAUUCUCUGGGGCAUAGGCAGGUGCGAUUAAGUUAUUUUUUUUUCUUUCGAAAUGCAAAGAAAGAUGACCCAGCUCGCGCGUUUGUUUUCACAUCUCUCGAAAGUCUUCAACCAAAAAAAAAAAAAAAAAAAUCUUACUAACCUAGAGGACAUAACUGCAUGUACAUAUAUAUGUGUUUUUCCCCAUCAAUCCCCCCCCCAGAUGUCAUAUUUCUCCCACUGGGAGCAGCAAAUAAGAUUGUUAGAAGUAUUUUGCAAAAGAAAUGGCAGUCAUCUAAAGAUCGCCAUUUCUCAGAAGUAACUUAGAAUUGAUCUAGUGUGAACAGAUUCAUUUAAUUACUAAUUCUUAGGAUAACACGAUUUAGAAAUUAGAGUAGCUACAUAGGACUAAUUGAGUCUCAUUGAAAUAGUCAUCUGAAAACUAGAUGUAGACAAGUAAGUUUACAUUCCUAGAUUUAAUAUAUGUAUAUUACUUGCAUAAAGAGAGUUACAUCUGUAGACAAAUACUUAUACAUAUAUACAGUCUACAUGUUCCCUCAAUAGACUAAUUAACAGUGAAACUAACAGAUGUGGUUACUAACAGAGGCGAGCUCUGACAAGAGCAGCGUUGGUGAUUUACACUCUCUCGGGAGCUGUGGGGAAUCCAGAACAAGGGUAUCCACUACUUUGAGGGGAGGGAAAGAUGAGGAAGAGAGGCAAAGUCAGUGUGUCAUUUCCUUUCCGGACAAAGAUCAGAGACUCUGUCUCUCCGUGUUCACAGCGGACCUUGAUUUAAUGUCAUACAAUUAAGGCACGCGGUGAAUGCCAAGAGCGGAGCCUGAAAGACUGCAUAUUGAAGGACUCCAGCACAUCUUAGAGGCAGAAAGGAAAAAUUCAACACGAACGAUGGACUCGCUCGCUUUGUGGGGAAGAUCCACAAUCAAAUCUUGAAACCCAGGUAGAGAUCGUGAGACAUUGACAUCUGUAUACCUGAAAAUCUUUCUCUGAACUGUUAGAAAAAAGGACUUUCCGUGACAGAGAUAGGAAAGAAAUAGUUGCAGGAUAUGAGAAUGUCCAGUCAACUAUUAACUAUUAGGAAGGAACUCUUCCUCCUCCCACUCCCCCCAACCUAAUAGUGUUGUGGGGAAUAUAUCCGCCCUAUGAUCCAAGAGUAAGUAGGGCAAAAUGAACAAAUAAAUAAUUAGAACCCCUUGUUAGUUCAAUCCAUAGAAAAUGCCGUACUUACCAUAUUCCUUUACUCCUGCAAAAUGGAUUGAUGCAAAGAGCUCAAAGAAACCGCUCUUAGGCGAAACUUCUGUUAGUUGUUUAUUUGCUUAUUUGGGUAAAAUAGACUUUACCUAACUUACAAUUAAGAGGACCAGCCCUCCUUUUUCAGUCAAACUCAAGGCGCCAGAACCCUAAAUUCAAUGGACUGAGACAAACGGGUGGAAAAUUGUAGGCCAGAAAGCUUAGAAGGACUCGGAAAAUUACUUUAUUUGGAAGACAGUGAGGUGGAUUGUGAGAAGGUAGUAGUUCCGCACCAAGGCAUUGAAGCUAAAAGAAAAUCCUCGGUUGAGAAUGGGAGACUUGAUAGAUGUCUUUGUUCAGUCUGGGCCAGAAGCGAACAAAGGAAAGGAGCAGAGAUGAUCUGCAAAGGUGACAGCAGUCUUCCCCUCCCCCUCAGAGCUGUCCGUGGUCCUGACCACAGCCCCUUUCUCUUUAGUUUUCAAUUAAAAGAACAAUCAGACAGACUCUUUCUCGGGAGCAGGAGUUUGCCCCAGGACAUAACAAUAAAUUAGAUUAUUCAGGAAAUAAAGAUAAAAAAGAGAAGUCUCUAACCACCACCCCGCACACACACACACACACACACACACACACAUAUAUUACACACGCACAUCACUUUAGGGUUAUCCAAACUUCCACAAACCCCUUAUCUAGAAAUAUUUCUAUGAAAACAAUUUGUUGACUUUGUUUCUCAGUGUUCUAUGAUUUUGUCUUCUUUAAGUCCAUAUAUAUAUGUAUAUAUAUUUAUAAUAUAUUUAACCUAUAUGUAGUAUAACCAUAUAUAUGGAUUUGAAAAAGACAUACAUUUUAUGUAUACGAGCAUAUGAAUGCAUGCAUAUAUACACAUGCGUGUAUAUGUGUUUUUAUAUAUAUAUGAAUAUACACACAAUGCCCAGUUUCGGGAUCUACGGUCCAUUUCAUUGUUUACGAAAAUCCCCCUCCCCCAAUUAAGAAUGGAGAAAGGGAAAGAGAAGAAUAUUCGGAUAUGUAUGUAUACAAUGCACAUACACAUAUACACAUAUUAUGUAUUUAUUAUGUGUUAAAUGUGAAAAACCAAUUUCUCAAGUCCAGAUCAAUAGUGUUAAUAAAGUCAAGAAAAUAAUUCAUGUAUUUAUAAUAUAAAUUUCCCUAAAUUUCCACAUCCUUCCCAUCUUCCAAUAUCUUCCCCGCCCCCAACCUUCACACAGGUUUCAUCUAUUUUAUGCGCAUAAAGGGUGAUAAUGUUUUAGGGAGGGAGGUAGAAGAGGAUGCGCCAAAAGCCAGUCGCAGCACGCAGGCGCACAUAUGCAGAAGAAAUACUGCAGAAAGGUAUUUCUAGAAAACCUCAUGACAUUCCGACUGCAAUUUAAUGCAUAUGAAAGGGAGCGGCUUUUUCCAAACCUGGUCUCUAGCAUCACUGCAGUGCGGUAUGUUUGAAAAUCCGACAUCAUCAUGUCAGGGAUUCUGUGGAUUGCCUCAACACACUGCAAAGAAUUUAGGAAUGAAAAUAGGAACCCUGCAAUAUAAAAGGACUAAGAAAUGUUUUCUGAUUUGCCCAGGAGAUUAAGAAAAAGCAGAGAUUCAGGGUAAAUGUGGAGAAAGUUUAAACCUCCUUUUUAGAUCUUUCAGGGAAACUCAGUGCUCCUAAACUUAUAUAUUCAAAAAGUCUCCUGUGCCCUCCCCACCCCCAAGAAUGUCUCUUAACAAAAAAAUGAAAUUGUAGAAGGAAUAUCUAUUUUAACCUACUAUAAUGUCAUUGCAUAGUUUUUUAAAUACAUGAAAAUAUAUGUAUUGCUAAGAAGAAAAUACUCUACAGUGCCUUCCUCAAAGCACUACUGUGUAAGGGUAAAUACAGAUUUUAAGUAUCCAUGAACAGCAAGCAAAGAGAAUAUUCCUCUAACAUUAUGCAUUCUAGUUGCACUUCAAUAAUCUUGUCUUUUAUCUCUAAAUUAUCUUUCCACUUAAAAAGGAGAUUUUUGCUUUUUCUCUCAUGCAGAUUUUCUUUUACUGGUAGGCUUCACAUUUUUUUUUUUAAAUCCAGUUUGUUCAGAGUCCUGCGCAUCGAUGGAUUAUUGUACUUACUAGUCUUGUUUUAUUUUUUAAAUCAUUUUUCAGGAAGGCCAAGUUUAGGGAAAGGAGAUGACCAAGAAAAGAUCAUUUGAAACUGAUCAAAGGGAAUACUGAUUCCAUAGAAUCAGUGGACACACUGCAGUGUGAUGCACUUGUUGCCUAGGAAAAUCUUUGCUUUAAAUCAAUUGAAAGUAGAGUCAAUAAAUAGAUUUGCUUCAAGAUUUCCUCUGCACUGCCGAGUACCCACAUGUGAAACUUAGUUAAAUCAAACUCAUUGUCACUUCUUAUGGUAGUAAUUUUAAGACAAUCCCUUGUAUUCCUUCGCAGUGCUCUUGUAGUGGUUUUAAUAGCAUUAUAGACCACCUAUUCCUUAUUCUCAAACCAAAUAAGAACUACAAAACGAAACCUAGGUUGCGUAGUCAUAUGUUACAUAGUAUGCAUACAAGCCCGUUCCUUCUCAUUUUAUCCAUACUUUUAGAAGAACCUGAGUAAAGUUUUCAGAAAACUUUACUAGCUAAAAUAAUAAUGAUGACUUCAACCUUUUUCCCUAAAUAGAAAAGUAAAUUGUGGUAUAGGAUUGAGAUAGGUCAUAAUUUUUGCUACUUGAAUCGAAGUAAUUCGAUAAUAUAAUUACGGUUUGAAAUUCUGAGUAGUUUAUUGAUGUAAAGUGUUCUAAAUUUUUAAAACUUUUUUUGUUUCUUUAAAAUAUUUUCGGGCUUAAUAUCCAACACCGGUUUUUUUCCCUUCCUACUAUCGAAAUUCUAUCUUCAUCAGUCUUGCAAAAAUAAAAAACAACAAAAAUAAUCGAAGCUUCCUUUCCAAUGGAAGAACUUCGUUGAGUUUUGCUUUGGAAUCUUUUCUGCAAUCACCACUCUUGCUUAAAGCUUUUCUGAAUAAUUUGGGGACAAAUGAAGUCUCUGGUAUCCCCUUACUCUCCUUCCCCCCACACAUACAUUGGGAUGAAAUUAUUACAGCACUACCGGGGAAUUAAUUACAAAUAGAGUAUGGUUUUGCUACAAGUCAACAAUUUCCCGGGGAAAAGGAGGAUCGCGCUACAUGGUUAUGAUACAUCCGGAGUUGCCAGUGUCAUAGCGCCCUCUGCUGCCCUGAUAGAGAUCCGACACCGCCUAUAAAGGCAAGAAACCCUGAAGAAUCAGGAUACAGUAAACAUUAAAAUAAGGGAACGAGUAAACAAUUAAAAAAAACUUUAAAAAACACUUUAAACACUUUUAAAACAACCUCGCUUCCAUAAAUUAACAACCCAUUACAUACUGUUUAAAGAAAAAUUUAAGUGAAUGCAUGACCAACAUAUAUAUAUAUAUUUUUCUUUUGAGAGGAUGGGGUGGGGAGGGGGAUACGGGUCUGAUGAUUUUUUUGAUUAUAUUUUCUUUCGGUGGUGUGGUGUGGCUGGUGAUGACACGUCAUUGGUCAGUGAAUGGAAAUUUUCAGUCUAUCCCUGGGGUUGUGAUAACGUCCAAUUUAUAUCUUCCCCUCCCCCUCCAGUCUUUCCGGAGGCAUUCAUGGGGCCCUGGAAUGAGCAGGCGAACGGGGAGGGGGGGGAGGGGGAGGAAGGGGAGACAGCAGGUGUUUCAGUGGAGUUUCAGGUGAGUACAGAGAGAAGAUUUCGCUUGAAGUUUUGCCUACUUCUUGGGGAAGAAUCUGCAAAGGAUGGGGCGGACAGGCAAUUAGGGAAUAGGAUUUAAGUCCAGCUAAAAAGAAAAAAAAACAGUAAACGUGUCCUUGGUGCCGAAAUGCAUUCCAAUAAGGAUAUUAAAUCAGAAUCUCAGAAAGAAAUGGGAAUACUGGAAGGAUGCCUGGGGAUCACAUAGAGAUGCAGGGAAGUUAUCACAAGUGCAACCUCAAAAUAAGGUUAUCUUAUGGAUCCCUAGCCAUGAGAAUGGAAUCAAUGAUGACCUUUUCCAAGAUUUCCUGACCUGAGAGGUUCAGAUUUGGCCUGGGAAAUGAAAGGAGGUACAAGACAAGCCAGGUUUGAAAGAAGAAAAUAGUUUGACCUGCUGAUGAUGAAUCACUGAUAAUGAAGAAACAUUGAUAGUAAAGUCUGAUUCAAAGUUAACAAGUACUUAUUGUGUAACUACUCUGCCUGUGGCUGUAUGUAUCUAAACACAUUGGAAGAAUGUUUUUUUAAGUUGGAAAUGAGGUUGCUACCCUCCAAGGGUUUAUGAUUUAGUUUGGGGAAAAUAAUAAAAUAAAUAACUAUGAAAUAAUUCAAGGAGACAUAUAUGUGAUACAUGAUGCGAUUGAAACACUGUAAAUAGGAAGAAUGAGAAGAAUUCAUAUCAUUAUAAAUUCAAAGCAAUUAUGAAAGGCUUAAUAGAGAAGCUGGACCUUGAAAUAAAUUUGGAUUUGGAUUGAUGAAGAGAAGGGAUGAAAGGUAUUCCAGAUAAAAAGACUGACUCAAGCAAAGAAAAAAAAAAAAAAAGAGUGGACUGACUAGUGACAGAUUUUUGAGACAUAAUAGAAGGUAUGAUUAGCAUAUGGUCUAUGGGGUUGACAGGCUCUGGUGGGCAAUGACUUCACUUAAGACAGCUUCUGAUAAUAGUCACCUAAAAUAGUAUAAAAAUGCGUAGGUGCUGACUGAGGCAACUCUUGGGGAAAAAAGGGAGGCCAUUCAUGAAUAUGGAGAGGGUGGGCCUCUUAUAGAUCUCCAGGAGUAAUUAAUUCUAGCCCAAGGCUCUCUCUGAUGAAUUCCCAUAUAUGAGUUCAAAAGAUCCUCUGGUCCACAAUGACCAAGGAGCCCCUGGAUAUAGAAGGAUCAUAAUAAUUGUGUAUCACAUCCAUCAUCCUGAAGUUUGGGUGUCCAUAGCUCAACAAUGUCAGGUUCUUUUCUCUUUCUUACAUGAUAGUAAAUUCUUUCCUCU